CCUACGGGAGGCAGCAGUGAGGAAUAUUGGUCAAUGGGCGCGAGCCUGAACCAGCCAAGUCGCGUGAAGGAUGACUGCCCUACGGGUUGUAAAUUUCUUUUAUCAAGGAAUAAAUUGUGGCACGUGUGCCUUUUUGUAUUUACUUUAUCAACAAGGAUCGGCUAACACCGUGCCAGCAGCCGCGGUAAUACGGAGGAUCCGAGCGUUAUCCGGAUUUAUUGGGUUUAAAGGGAGCGUAGAUGGGUGGUUGAGUCAGUUGUGAAAGUGUGCGGCUCAACCGUGAAAUUGCAAUUGAUACGGGCAGUCUUGAGUACAGUUGAGGUAGGCAGAAUUCGUGGUGUAGCGGUGAAAUGCGUAGAUAUCACGAAGAACUCCGAUUGCGAAGGCAGCUUACUAAACUGCCACUGACAUUGAUGCUCGAAAGUGUGGGUAUCAAACAGGAUUAGAUACCCGGGUAGUC
rnacentral:rRNA from 1 species